rnacentral:tRNA from 1 species
GGUCAGGUAGCUCAGUUGGCAGAGCGCGCGCCUGAAAAGUGCGAAGUCGGCGGUUCGACCCCGCCCCUGACCA